CGUAUAUUGUAAUCAAUGCACAUUAGGUCCUUGAUCAGUAAAAUGUUCACAAUAAUUUCGUUCCUUAUAAAACCAUAUCGUAAUGUUGAAAUAUUAUUAAUACAAUUGCAGAUUCAAUAUUGAAGAAUACUGACUCGUUCUUUGAUACUCUGAUGGACGGCCUCUUCUCGAACUGGUGGUAAAUCAUGUUCUCGCGUAUCACUCGGUGCUGCUGUCCCAAUAAAGGUUCGAUACAUGGGUACAGUCCAGAGAGGACUAGGAGCUGGCAUAGUAAAAUUUACCGGACUAACCAAACCGUACGUAGCUUUCGUCUCAAGGGUAGGUACAUCCCCAGGCACCUUGUGAUGGUAACUGAAAUUAUUGGAAUUUUAUUUACUUGGUGAAGAAAUUAGAAAAACAUAUUUGUUUGUUCGGAUAAUUUCGAGCAACGUAUGGAACUUACAUGAAACCAUUUUCUCUGUUACAUUUAUCGAGCGUGAUUUUCACCAGCGGAGCCAAUCGUUUGAAUACACCAUGUUGGUCAGGCUUAACCCUUGGCGCUGGGCCAUGCGUCUUCCCAUAUUCCUGGCACAAAACUUUUGCCUGUUUCAAAGAUUUUUCGCUCUCUUCAAGGGCCUUUAUUGCCUCUCCACAUUUAUCCAUUGACAAGAGGUUUUCCCCACAAUAAAUAUACGCCUGAAAAUAGGUUCCAGAUAUUUUAUCCAUUGAGCUGAAAUGUCUGGCUUGAAGGGACGCAAAGUAUUAGCUGCGUCGAGGAAAAGUUUGCUGGUUUCGUUUGCCAAAGCAGAUAUCAAAUUGUUGUUAUGUUUCAACUCUACGGCUCUAGCA